rnacentral:rRNA from 1 species
GAUGAACGCUAGCUACAGGCUUAACACAUGCAAGUCGAGGGGAAACGACAUCGAAAGCUUGCUUUUGAUGGGCGUCGACCGGCGCACGGGUGAGUAACGCGUAUCCCACCUGCCCACCACUUCGGGAUAACCUUGCGGAAGUAAGACUAAUACCCCAUGAUAUCCCACGAAGACAUCGGAAUGUGAUUAAAGAUUUAUCGGUGAUGGAUGGGGAUGCGUCUGAUUAGCUUGUUGGCGGGGUACCGGCCCACCAAGGGAACGCUCACUAGGGGUUCUGAGAGUAGCCGCCCUCAGAGGGGAACCGAGACACUGGCCACACUGCUACGGGCGACAGCAGUGAGGAAUAGUGGUCAGUGGGCGAGAGCCUGAACCAGCCAAGUCGCGUGCAGGAAGACGGCGCUCUGGGUUGUAACCUGCUUUUAGAAGGCAAUAAAGUCGGUUACCUGUGACUUUUUGAAGGUAACUGAUGAAUAAGGACCGGCUAAUUACGUG